AACUGAUACUACCUGCGGGAACCUGCGGAAGGAUCAUUACCGAGUUAUCAACUCCCAAACCCCUGUGAACAUACCCGAACGUUGCCUCGGCGGGACCGCCCCGGCGCCCCUAGCGGCCCGGAACCAGGCGCCCGCCGGAGGACCCAAACUCUUGCUUUAAACAGUGGCAUACUCUCUGAGUCUCACAAACAAAAAAUAAAUCAAAACUUUCAGCAACGGAUCUCUAGAUCGGAAGAGCAC
rnacentral:misc_RNA from 1 species